rnacentral:tRNA from 1 species
UCCUUAGAGACUAGUGGUUAGUCCACAGUGCUCUCACCGCUGCGGUCUGGGUUCGAUUCCCAGCCAGGGAA